GUAGCCGGAGCCGGAGCUCGGCCUCACAGUCGGAGCAGCUUCCAUAGAGACCAAACUGUAUUUUUCACGGAGCCCAAAUGUCCAAAUGUCCAGAUAGAGCUGUCUGAAUAGACUCUGUGCUGUUCCCUUUAUCUGAACAUGUUUAACAUCUGAAUUAUCUCCCGCUGUCCUACGAAGCUAAUGCAGUUAGCUUAGCUUGCUAGCUGGAAACAGUCUGGAGGAAAAGCUGCUGUGAAUCAGUAAAAAUGUCUAAAGUGGAGAACGAGGAGGAACUUUGUGGACAACGCAAACUACUGGACGCUGUUUUCAAGCCUGCAGCAGAAGUCCAACUGCUGUUGGUGAGUAAAGAAGAGGUUCCCCCUGAGCAGCAGGAGUGGAGCCUCAGGCUGGACCAGGAGGACCCACCAGAGCCCCCCACACAUUAAAGAGGAACAGGAGGAACUCUGGACCAGUCAGGAGGGAGAGCAGCUUCGAGGGCUGGAGGAGGCUGAUAUCACCAAGUUCACAUUCACUCCUGUCGCUGUGAAGAGUGAAGAAGACGAUGAAGAGAAACCUCAGUCCUCACAGCUUCAUCAAAGACCGACUGAACAGAUGGAAACAAAAGCUGAUGGAGAUGACUGUGGAGGACCAGAACCAGCCAGGAACUCAGAUCCAGAUGGACAUUUUCAACCUGAGACUGAUGACAAGACGUCAGACUCCUCUGAACCUGAGGCAGAUGACAGUUGUGAUUGGGAGGAGACCAGGAAACCUCAGUCAGGUUCAAACCCUCUGCGAAACAAUAAAGUACCUGUAAGUGAUCAGGAAUGUAAUACUGGAAAAACAUCAAGUUGCUCCUCUGAAUGUGCUGCAAGCUCUGGCCACAAAGGACAUCUGCAGGAAUACAGUGGUCCCCGAACAGCAGAGAAACCAUUCAGUGUCUCAGUUUGCAAAAAAAGACUUUCAAGUGAGAGGAAAUUUCAUAGGAAUUCUCACAUUAAAGAAACUAUUCAGUUGUUCUGUCUGUGGAAAAAGAUUCAAACAACAAUCAUAUUUGACCAGACACUUAGAAGUGCAUACAAAAGACAAUACUUUUCUCAGUUUGUAAAAAAUAUUUUCCACUGAGAAAAGCUGCCAUGAGGCACAUAAAAAGACACUCAAGUGUGAAACCCUUCAGUUGUUCAGUUUGUGGUAAAAAAUUUAUAGAAAACUGAGGAAGUCAGUUCAGAACUGUGACGCAUCUAACAAUAAUUCAUGCCACAUAGUCAUUCAAAGUCUUUUUUUGUCUUCGUGGGCUGCACGAUAUGAGAAAAAUGUGCGAGAACUUUGUUCAGUAUUGCGGUGUCAAAAUAAAUCUAGAGCAUCAAAGUCAUUAUAUAAACAAAUGAAUCAAUCUCAUAAAAUAAAUGAUAUUCCUGGUAUCAAAAUGAGUGAAGUUAACAAGGAAAUCAGGGACUCAUCAGUCCUUCCUCGAGUCCUCCUUCCCUCUUUGUUGUAAUCAGCCGCUUAUUCCACCACAGUAUCUAUAUCCCAGAACUAGGAACCUUUUGAUGAAUUCAGUGUUUCUAUUGCAGGGACCAGGGUCUAAAUAAGUGUCUUUAUUCUACCCCCCAAAGGUAUUUAUUUUAGUCCCCAUAAAGUUAUGUUCCUCCUACCCUCAGGCGGACACAGACGUGAGUGCUGCCAGCUCAUGUGCUGCUCCGUCACCUGGAAAUGCUUUAAUGACCUUCCAGACUGUUGCAAUUUUAUGUUUGUUGAUGACUUGAUGACUGUAUCAGUUAUUAAAUUUGGAACAAACUUUA